rfam:Schistosoma mansoni strain Puerto Rico chromosome 4, complete genome
AUCCAGUUGACGAGUCCCAAAUAGGACGAAACGUGCUCCCUAGAU